GAAUAAUCAGCCUGCUUCAAUAAUGAAUAGCCUCACCCUUUGAUUUAUUCAGUAUCUAGCCGUAUCCUUGCUUAAGAAACCCAGGGGCUAAUCUUGAAAUAAACCGGGCAUGAAUUUGAGAUUGUGGAAUCCUACAUUCUCAGAAAAAUCACUGAGGGGGGUUAAUCCAUAAGCUAGUUGCAGUCAUGGUGAUGCCAGCCAGACCUCCAGGUGAUCCGUUACUGAAGAUAGCCAUCAGAGUAAGACAUGCAAACCUGCACCCUGCACCACUCCUGCUCAUAGUUUCCAUGCCUCCUACUUCUUAAAAUCCCUUUAGCUAGCCUAAAAUUUUGAAAUAGUCUUUGAGGCGCUAGUCCACCAUCUCCUCAGGUUGCUAGCUCUUGAAUAAACCUGCUUUUCCUGCACCAACUCUUGUCUUGCAAGUCUUGCUUUUGAGCAGUGAGCAGUGAUCAGCUGACCCUUAGUUUGGUUACACUAUCACUCAGGAAAUUCCAAGCAUUUUAGAAGGUCUGUGGCAGGAACCAGGAACUAAGUUCAAAUUUAUUUUUUAUUAUACCACAGGUCCCAACUCCCAUGACUACCUGGAUGGUGACAAAGACGAAUUAUCUCUUCAUCCUUCUUUCUCACUCUAAAUAUACACAGACAUGCUAUUAGGAGGGAAAACUUUCCCUCUACCAACUUUGGUUCAGUGGGUGGGAGCCUGUGAAUUAACUAUAGACAGGUUAGCAGGGGGAAAGAAAACAAGUUGUAUUCAUAACUUGUGGAAGCAUUCAGAUGAAGAGGCUUGAUGAAGAGCUAGAGACAGAAGUUUAGUUAUCAACUCAUAGGGGAAAAGAAGGAGGGAGAAAUGACUUCUAUAGGAAAACAAAUGACUUUUGGGAAAGACAAAUAGAAGCUUUGGAUAAAGUUUUACACAAUUUUCUUGGAAUAUCUCCUGUCUGGGUGAAGUAAUCCUCACACGGUUAACAAGAAUCCUGGACAAAAAUAUAAUUAUGAGUAAGUGUUAAUCAGGCUACACUUUGACCCACUUCCUUGUAACCAAAACUCACGAACACUAGCUACUGAUAAUUUGCAUUCUCAUUGUUCCCAUAGAUAAGAUCUUUGACAUUAGAAUCAUAAGGCUUUUGUUUAAGAAUUGUUUAUGCAGAUCCUGAAUUCCGGCAGAACAGCUGACACCACCAACUUUAAAGAGCCCAACUGAUGAACUGAUCAGCAUGAGAAUACUGUUUUUUCAUCUCUCUGUCCCAUGACUUCACUCUGCAUUCUUCAACCAAUUAGUGAUCUCUUAUUUCCACCUACUCCAAAUCCUUAAAAACAACAGCCUCAAACUCUUUGAGGAAAUGGAUUUGAGGUUUCCUUCCAUCUUUUGGUUCAGCAGCCCUGCAAUUAAACCUCUUUCUCUGCUGCAACCCAGUGUCUUGGCAUAUUGACAUGCUGUGCACAUCAGGCAAAAGACCUAUUACCAUUACAUGAGGACCCCUCCGGAGGGAGAUAAUGGUGGGGGCAUUUCUGGGAGGCUCUGCUUUAGUCAGGUCUAUAAGCAUGAACUUAUUCAAUAACGGAAGUAACAGGUAAAGAAGGAAAAGCACACGUGGCAAGAAGAACCACGUCUCCAGGAAGAGGCAACACUACUGAUUGAAGGACAGUGGGGACAAAGUCCUGCUGACAUGCCUGUAUUUCCAAACAAAGACAAAAAUUAAACAUUUGCUUUUCAACCAACUCUGGGCUUUGUGCCCACUCACUCUUUGUUCCCAUUCCCUCUUUCCCAAGUAUUUCAUGGCAUUCUUCCGGGAAUAACUGUUUACAGAGAAUUACAGAGAAUCUGCUUAAAUACAGAUUCAAUAAAAACUCCUAAAGAAAGGUUUCACUGACCUUCAUUGGUCCACUUUUUUAUCCAGCUACUUUAAUUUGAGUCACAGUGACCAAUGCUUCCAACAAUAACUUGACAAACCUCUUACUCUUGCCUGCUUAUAACCUGAUUAUCUGUUUUCAACAAUAGCUAAAGCCAUUCCUCUUUUCCUGGAAUGAUUUUUUCCAUCCUCUCUGCCAAACGAUAGUUCAUCUCCACAUUACUAGAGUGCCUCAUGUCCUGUUACUAACAUCGUACCACUCCAUGGAGUCAUAGAACAAGAGUGGGAGGGGCCUCUGAGACUCUGUCCACCCCUCAUAUUAAAGAAGAGCCAACUGAGGAACAGAGAAAGAGACAUGUAUUGCCCAAGGAACUCAUUGCAUUCGCCGGCCUGGAAGCUUUCCAAUGCACCACACAAUUUUUUUUUUUUUUUUUUUUAAGACGGAGUCUUGCUCUGUCACCCAGGCUAGAGUGCAGUGACGCAAUCUCUGUUCACUGUAACCUCCGCCUCCCAGGUUCAAGAGAGUCUCCUGUCUCAGCCUCCCGAGUAGCUGGGGUUACAGGUGCUCACCACCGUGCCCGGCUAAUUUUUGUAUUUUUAGUAGAGACGAGGUUUCACCAUCUUGGCCAGGCUGGUCUCGAACUCCUGAUCUUGUGAUGCACCCACCUCGGCCUCCCAAAGUGCUGGGAUUACAGGCAUGAGCCACCGUGCCGGGCCCACACAACUUUUAUAUUCCAUACUAGUACUUUCUAGACAAUCAGAGCUAACUUUAAAGGGGCCACUGAAAGUUGCUGUUCGAAGGAAACCUACAUUGACUAUUACCAUAAAUUCAAAAAUUAUUUUACUCUGCUUGUCAUCAGUAAAAGAAUUGCUUGAAUUGAAGCGUAUGUAAUAAACCUAUCCUCUUGCAAAACUUGUUAGUGGCUCUGUGGUUAAGUAAGUCUUGAAUACCUGAGGCUGCUUCUGGGAAGGUGGUCCUGUGCCACAGAUAAUGAUGUCCCUUGGGUUUCUACUGAUUACAUUAUGACUUGAUUAUAAGAUUUUUACUGUCACGAGGGAGGGUCUUGGCUCAUCUGAGAUUUCCCUAGCCCCCUGAGUGGUGCUGAAAUUGUUUUAAUAAAGAUGUUGCGC
rnacentral:lncRNA from 1 species